rnacentral:rRNA from 1 species
AAAGCUUGCUUUCUUUGCUGGCGACCGGCGCACGGGUGAGUAACACGUAUCCAACCUGCCCUUUACUCGGGGAUAGCCUUUCGAAAGAAAGAUUAAUACCCGAUAGCAUAAUGAUUCCGCAUGGUUUCAUUAUUAAAGGAUUCCGGUAAAGGAUGGGGAUGCGUUCCAUUAGGUUGUUGGUGGGGUAACGGCCCACCAAGCCUUCGAUGGGUAGGGGUUCUGAGAGGAAGGUCCCCCACAUUGGAACUGAGACACGGUCCAAACUCCUACGGGAGGCAGCAUG